rnacentral:rRNA from 1 species
GACGAGCGCUGGCGGCGUGCCUAAUACAUGCAAGUCGAGCGCAGGAAACCGUCUGAACCCUUCGGGGGGACGACGGCGGAAUGAGCGGCGGGCGGGUGAGUAACACGUAAAGAACCUGCCCAUAGGUCUGGGAUAACCACGAGAAAUCGGGGCUAAUACCGGAUGUGUCAUCGGACCGCAUGGUCCGCUGAUGAAAGGCGCGUCGGCGUCGCCCAUCGAUGGCUUUGCGGUGCAUUAGCUAGUUGGUGGGGUAAUGGCCCACCAAGGCGACGAUGCAUAGCCGACCUGGGAGGGUGAUCGGCCACACUGGGACUGAGACACGGCCCAGACUCCUACGGGAGGCAGCAGUAGGGAAUCUUCCACAAUGGACGAAAGUCUGAUGGAGCAACGCCGCGUGAACGAUGAAGGCUUUCGGGUCGUAAAGUUCUGUUGUAAGGGAAGAACAAGUGCCGCAGGCAAUGGCGGCACCUUGACGGUACCUUGCGAGAAAGCCACGGCUAACUACGUGCCAGCAGCCGCCGUAAUAC